rnacentral:rRNA from 1 species
UACAGAGGUCUCAAGCGUUGUUCGGAAUUACUGGGCGUAAAGCGUGCGCAGGCGGCUUUGCAAGACAGAUGUGAAAUCCCCGGGCUCAACCUGGGAACUGCAUUUGUGACUGCAUGGCUAGAGUACGGUAGAGGGGGAUGGAAUUCCGCGUGUAGCAGUGAAAUGCGUAGAUAUGCGGAGGAACACCGAUGGCGAAGGCAAUCCCCUGGACCUGUACUGACGCUCAUGCACGAAAGCGUGGGGAGCGAACAGG